GUGAAUCAUCAAAUUUUUGAACGCAAAUUGCACUCUCUUCGGAGAGUAGGCCUGUUUGAGUGUCAGCCUAAAAAAAAUCGACAUAGUUGCUGUUACGCGGUAACAUUCGGCGUAAGUUGGGUCAUCUUAAACCUUUUUGUUGGAUCGGCGUAAAAUUUUCUUUACUAUUUCAAGAACUUUUCUAAGAUUUUAUUUUCUUAUACGUUUAAGUUAUCUAUCUUUAUUAGACUUGGCCGUUGCGUUGGAU
rnacentral:misc_RNA from 1 species